GACGAACGCUGGCGGCGUGCUUAACACAUGCAAGUCGAACGGAAAGGCCCUGCUUGCAGGGUACUCGAGUGGCGAACGGGUGAGUAACACGUGGGUGAUCUGCCCUGCACUUCGGGAUAAGCUUGGGAAACUGGGUCUAAUACCGGAUAGGAGCCAUCUUUAGUGUGGUGGUUGGAAAGUUUUUUCGGUGUAGGAUGAGCUCGCGGCCUAUCAGCUUGUUGGUGGGGUAAUGGCCUACCAAGGCGGCGACGGGUAGCCGGCCUGCGAGGGUGUACGGCCACAUUGGGACUGAGAUACAGCCCAGACUCCUACGGGAGGCAGCAGUGGGGAAUAUUGCACAAUGGGCGCAAGCCUGAUGCAGCGACGCCGCGUGGGGGAUGAAGGCCUUCGGGUUGUAAACUCCUUUCGCUAGGGACGAAGCUUUUUUGUGACGGUACCUAGAUAAGAAGCACCGGCUAACUACGUG
rnacentral:rRNA from 1 species